rnacentral:rRNA from 1 species
UAUUAUUCCCCCUGUUACCAUAUGUCCGGAGUAGUAACAGUUAGGUUCUUAAAACUCAAAAAAUUUGGCGGUGAUUUAACUAAUCAGAGGAAUUUGUCCCUUAAUCGAUAGCCCCCGUUAUAACUUACUUAAUCUAGUCGACAGCUUGUAUACCGCCGUCAGCAGGAAAUUUUAUGAAAAUAUUUUCAAGAAAUUCUAAAAUUAGAUGUCAGGUCAAGGUGCAGCUCAUGGUUGAGGGGAGGUGAAUUACAAUAAUUUUAAUUACACGGAGUUAAAAUGAAAACUACAAUGAAGGUGGAUUUGGUUGAAUAUUUUUAACAAAGAAAAUAUAAUAAAGGCGC